rnacentral:misc_RNA from 1 species
GAUGAAGAACGUAGCGAAAUGCGAUAAGUAGUGUGAAUUGCAGAAUUCAGUGAAUCAUCGAAUCUUUGAACGCACAUUGCGCCCCUUGGUAUUCCAUGGGGCAUGCCUGUUCGAGCGUCAUUUGUACCUUCAAGCUUUGCUUGGUGUUGGGUGUUUGUCCCUCGGGACUCGCCUUAAAGUCAUUGGCAGCCAGUGUUUUGGUUUUGAAGCGCAGCACAAGUCGCGAUUCAAGGCUAUCCGCCAGCUUCCACAAGCCUUUUUCACUUUUGACCUCGGAUCAGGUAGGGAUACCCGCUGAACUUAAGCAUAUCAAUAAGCGGAGGA